UAAUGUAUGGGGAUCUGCCCGAUAGAGGGGGAAAACUACUGGAAACGGUGGCUAAUACCGCAUAAUGUCUACGGACCAAAGCAGGGGCUCUUCGGACCUUGCACUAUCGGAUGAACCCAUAUGGGAUUAGCUAGUAGGUGGGGUAAAGGCUCACCUAGGCGACGAUCUCUAGCUGGUCUGAGAGGAUGAUCAGCCACACUGGGACUGAGACACGGCCCAG
rnacentral:rRNA from 1 species